GGAGUUAGCCGGUGCUUCUUCUGUGAGUGAUGUCCUUCCUGCCGGCUAUUAACCCGCAGGCCUUCUUCCUCACUGAAAGUGCUUUACAACCCGAAGGCCUUCUUCACACACGCGGCAUGGCUGGAUCAGGGUUGCCCCCAUUGUCCAAUAUUCCCCACUGCUGCCUCCCGUAGGAGUCUGGGCCGUGUCUCAGUCCCAGUGUGGCUGAUCAUCCUCUCAGACCAGCUACGGAUCGUCGCCUUGGUGAGCCGUUACCUCACCAACCAGAUAAUCCGACAUAGGCUCAUCCGAUAGCGCGAGGCCCGAAGGUCCCCCGCUUUCCCCCGUAGGGCGUAUGCGGUAUUAGCCUGGGUUUCCCCAGGUUAUCCCCCACUACCGGGCAGAUUCCUAUGCAUUACUCACCCGUCCGCCGCUCGCCACCAGGGAGCAAGCUCCCCGUGCUGCCGCUCGACUUGCAUGUGUUAGGCCUGCCGCCAGCGUUCAAUCUGAGCCAGAAUCGAACCCUGA
rnacentral:rRNA from 1 species